rnacentral:lncRNA from 1 species
CUGGACAAGAUUCGCGCAUGUUUGGAAGAACCUCGUGAGGAGAUACCUCUCCCAAACCGUUCAUAUUCCAUGAGCCAAUCAUUGCUUCGUCUUCGCAAAUGCAGUAGCUCAUGCACUCGUACCUGUUACUGCAUCCAUGAAUCAGAAUAUGGACGGAGAUGAUUGCGGACUGGAUGUCAGCACGCUUUACGAAAGGCAUAGUCAUAAGAGAUUUGACAUGGCCCAGGGCAACCAUCGUCCAACUUGUUGGGCCAAAC